AGCAGCCGCGGUAAUUCCAGCUCCAAUAGCGUAUAUUAAAGUUGUUGCAGUUAAAAAGCUCGUAGUUGAAUUUCGGGAUUCUACCGUCGGUCGGGCUAACAAGUCUGUACUGGUGUGUAGAAUUUCUACCUUCUGGGGAACUAUCAUGUUAUUAAUUUAGCGUGGUAGGAAACCAGGACCUUUACCUUGAAAAAAUUAGAGUGUUCAAAGCAGGCUUACGUCUGAAUACAUUAGCAUGGAAUAAUAGAAUAGGACAGUGGUCCUGUUUUGUUGGUUUCUGAAUCACCGUAAUGAUUAAUAGGGAUAGUUGGGGGCAUUAGUAUUCAAUUGUCAGAGGUGAAAUUCUUGGAUUUAUUGAAGACUAACUUCUGCGAAAGCAUUUGCCAAGGAUGUUUUCAUUAAUCAAGAACGAAAGUUAGGGAUCGAAGACGAUCAGAUACCGUCGUAGUCUUAACCAUAAACUAUGCCGACUAGGGAUCGGACGAUGUUAAAUUUUAUUGACUCGUUCGGCGCCUUACGG
rnacentral:rRNA from 1 species